GUUUAAGAAGUGUUCUCCCGUCUAACAGGAAGCAGGGAAACAGGCAGCUCUCUGGACGCUAGGGGAGCAGAGUUCCCAGAAGGCCUUGCAGGACGGGAGAGCAGAUCUAGGGGGGAGGGCGGAGUCAAGGCUAAUUUCCUGUAUGGAUGGCCUUACGCUAAGCCCCUCCCACAGCAUGACGGACAGGCCAGUUGAGGACCUCAGGGAGACGGCGGCCAUCGUUACCCAGGGAGACGAACUACGAGCUCUAAAAGGCCGUCGGACACUGCGCCUACCUGGAGCCCUACGGCCUUUAGAAAUGAAGAUCCACAACAGACCAGCAGCUCAGCAACACAGAGUCCCUAUAGGUUCCGGUGUUAAGAGGGUCAGUCGAAGUCCGUCCACCUCAAACCUCAGAAGCACUGCGGCUAACUCCAGGCUAGGCAACUCCCUGGGCGACCUCUACGGCGGUGAGGUGGAGGAGGCCAGGCAGACCUACAGCCCUCUUCACCCCCCGUCCUCUCCUCGCUCCCCCGCGGCCACCCUCCUCCCCCGGGGCCCCCGAGUGCCGCCCAAGGACCCCGGUCAGUACUUUGGCGCCCCUGGGAGGCCCAGUGGGAAGAAGGAUCCGGGGCCGCAGGCUCCCUACAGCGGGCUGAAGGCAGCCUCCGGGCGAUACCUCAGCCGCUCGAUUCCUUCGCUUCAGUCGCAGUACGCAGAAUACUGAGGAGCAAAGCUGGACCAGAAGUAGGAGGCUGGGCUUUAUGGGCCAGCCUCCCUCACCCUACCUCACCCUAACUGACCCUCCCUCCCCCUCCCUCACCCUAACUGACCCUAACUGACCCUCCCUCAGCCUGCCUCACCCUAACUGACCCUACCUCACCCUAACUGACCCUACCUCACCCUAACUGACCCUCCCUCAGCCUGCCUCACCCUAACUGACCCUACCUCACCCUAUCCUUCCCUAGCCUACCAUAGCCUAUUCUGCUCUUCCCUACCGUAACUGACCCUAGCCUAACCUACCCUACCUAACCCUAGAUUAACCUUACCCUACCCUAGCCUACCUUACCCAAGCCUACCUAACCUUACCCUAGCCUAGCCUAGCUUACCUAACCUUACCCCUAGCCUACCCUACCCAAGCCUACAUAACCAUACUCUACCCUAGCCUACCUAACCCAAGCCUACCUAACCCAAGCCUACCCUAGCCUAGCUUACCUAACCUUGCCCUACCCUACCCUAGCCUACCUAAGCCUACCCUACCCUACCCCAGCCUACCUUAUGGACAGGGCAGCUCCAGGAGAACUGCUGUGCCCUACAAUAUGAGCACUGGUUGUUUUGUCUAUAUUAUUACAAUGCAUUGUGGGUACACACUUAAGACAUAAAAUACUAUAUAUUUCCAUUACAUUGGUUUUAUAUUUCUUCACCCCAUGAAGACAUUUUCAUAUGUAGAAUAAAUAUUUUUGUUUAAAGAUUUUACUUUUGAAUUUGUGUGUCCUACCUUUAUUUAAGUUGAGCGCUGCU
ensembl:lncRNA